rnacentral:misc_RNA from 1 species
GAGAAGCACUACUAUAAAGGCACCCUGAAUGGGACAAUACAUGUAGUUGUUGGUGGUGCAGGAGCAAGCCUUUCACCAUAUACUACACUCCAAACAUCAUGGAGUUUGUAUAAAGACUAUGAUCAUGGAUUUGUAAAGCUUACAGCAUUUGAUCAUUCGAACCUGUUGUUUGAGUACAAGAAGAGCAGAGAUGGAAAGGUGUACGACUCUUUCCGGAUAUCCCGAGAUUAUAGGGAUAUCUUGGCCUGCACUGUGGACAGUUGCCCAAGUAUGACACUAGCAUCUUGAUUUGUAUAUAAGGGGACAAAAAUCUUCACUUGUAAGUAUUAUCCGUUAUAUAGUUCAUGUAAUGGUAUUUUUUUUUUUUUCAGAUAAAGUAAAAUACC